UAGGGAAUCUUCGGCAAUGGGCGAAAGCCUGACCGAGCAACGCCGCGUGAAUGAUGAAGGCCUUCGGGUUGUAAAAUUCUGUUAUAAGGGAAGAAUGGCUCUAGUAGGAAAUGGCUAGAGUGUGACGGUACCUUAUGAGAAAGCCACGGCUAACUACGUGCCAGCAGCCGCGGUAAUACGUAGGUGGCGAGCGUUAUCCGGAAUUAUUGGGCGUAAAGAGCGCGCAGGUGGUUGAUUAAGUCUGAUGUGAAAGCCCACGGCUUAACCGUGGAGGGUCAUUGGAAACUGGUCAACUUGAGUGCAGAAGAGGGAAGUGGAAUUCCAUGUGUAGCGGUGAAAUGCGUAGAGAUAUGGAGGAACACCAGUGGCGAAGCGGCUUCCUGGUCUGUAACUGACACG
rnacentral:rRNA from 1 species